rnacentral:rRNA from 1 species
UACGGGGGGAGCAAGCGUUGUUCGGAUUUACUGGGCGUAAAGGGCGCGUAGGCGGUCGUGACAAGUCACUUGUGAAAUCUCCGGGCUUAACUCGGAACGGUCAAGUGAUACUGUCGGACUAGAGUACAGAAGGGGCAACUGGAAUUCUCGGUGUAGCGGUGAAAUGCGUAGAGAUUUGGAGGAACACCAGUGGCGAAGGCGACUUUCUGGUCUGUAACUGACGCUGAGGCGCGAAAGCGUGGGGAGCAAACAGGG